rnacentral:rRNA from 1 species
GACGAACGCUGGCGGCGUGCCUAAUACAUACAAGUCGAGCGGACCAACCAGGAGCUUGCUCUUGUUUGUUUAGCGGCGGACGGGUGAGUAACACGUGGGUAACCUGCCCGUAAGACCGGGAUAACUCCGGGAAACCGGAGCUAAUACCGGAUAACACCGAAGACCGCAUGGUCUUUGGUUGAAAGGCGGCUUCGGCUGCCACUUAUGGAUGUGCCCGCGGCGCGUUAGCUAGUUGGUGAGGUAACGGCUCACCAAGGCGACGAUGCGUAGCCGGCCUGAGGGGGAGACUGGCCAAACUGGGACUGAGACACGGCCCAGACUCCUACGGGAGGCAGCAGUAGGGAAUCUUCCGCAAUUGACGAAAGUCUGACGGAGCGACGCCGCGUGAGCGAAGAAGGGCUUCGGAUCGUAAAGCUCUGUUGUUAGGGAAGAAGAAGCGCCGUUCGAACAGGGCGGCGCGGUGACGGUACCUAACGAGAAAGCCCCGGCUAACUACGUG